rnacentral:rRNA from 1 species
GCAGGUCCCAAGGGUACGGCUGUUCGCCGUUUAAAGAGGUACGUGAGCUGGGUUUAGAACGUCGUGAGACAGUUCGGUCCCUAUCUGCCGUAGGUGUUGAUACUUGAGAGGAUCUGUCCCUAGUACGAGAGGACCGGGAUGGACAUACCUCUGGUGGAUCGGUUGUCACGCCAGUGGCACAGCCGAGUAGCUAUGUAUGGAUCGGAUAACCGCUGAAAGCAUCUAAGCGGGAAGCCGUCCUCAAAACCAGGUAUCGUUUGAGAGCCGUGGAAGACCACCACGUUGAUAGGCAGGAUGUGGAAGUGUGGUAACACAUGAAGCUAACCUGUACUAAUCGCUCGAGGGCUUGAUCUCAUC